rnacentral:rRNA from 1 species
UCGCAUCGGGACGGGCCCGCGGCCCAUUAGCUUGUUGGUGAGGUAACGGCUCACCAAGGCGACGAUGGGUAGCUGGUCUGAGAGGACGAUCAGCCACACUGGGACUGAGACACGGCCCAG